UCCAAAACGAGAAGACCACGGCGCUGCCCUCACCGACCUGAGCCUCAGUGAGGGCGAUGGUGGACCCCACCCUCAGCCUAAAACCUCCACCCAUCCGGAAGCCACCUCCCACCAGGAUCUUACGUCUGGUUGGCUCUGAAGACUCGAAUCAACAGCAGAGGUGGGGUGGGGUAGAAGGCUGCGGAGCAAUGAUUGGCUCCGCUAUGGGAAGGGCGGGAUCAAGCCCUGCUCUGAGUCCUGAUUGGCCACCGCAAGAUGGCCCACCCAAGCUCUUCCAGGGUACCGAGGUUUUCGGGAAUCACUUAUAGGCUACGAGCGGGUCGUCCGGCUCCGUGCUGCUAUUGGCUGCUGACUUGGCGCAGGCGCUAUGGCCCCUGCGUUGGCGUUCGCGGUUGCAGAGGCAGGGCUUUGGCUACGGGAGACCAUAGGACCCACUCACUGUUCACAGCAGCACUGAGAAAAAUUCUUCACUGGGGUUCCUGACAGCUGUAUUUCAGGCUGCCUGUAGGUCCGAGUUCUGCAGAGAAGGUUCAAGUGGAAGCCAGCCAUCCUGUCGCGAGGACACUCAAGCAGCUGCAUGGAGAGAUCUACUUACCAGAGAACUGAGGUCCCCCAGCCCAAAGCCAUCACCAAAUUGCCAGCAAUGUGAGUGAUCCAGCUUGGAAGCAGCGCUUCCGGCCCCACUCAAGCCUUCCAAUGACUGCAGCCUGAGAGACCCAAAGCCAGAGCCAUGCAGCUAAGCUGCUCCUGAAUUCCAGCUCCCCCAAACUGUGUGAGAUGAUUAGUGUUUGCUGUUGUUUCAAGCUGCUAAGUUUUGGGUUCAUUUGUGGCAUUUCUGAGCUCUCUGAGGGUCUCUGUCUAGGGUUUGAGAUUUCUGAGCUUUUUGUGGCCUAUAUCCAUAUCUGGGUGUUGGAGACACUCCAUGUUGCACAUUUUUAGGUCUCUGAUCUCUUUAGGGUCUCUCUCUGGGUUUUUAGGCCUCUGAACUAUUUGGGGAUCUGUGUCUGAAAGCAUGGGGAUUCUGGGCUGUUUCUGGUUCAUGUCCAGGACAUGAUCAUAACUGUUUGGAAUCCUUUAAUCCCAGGGUAUGAUGUCUCUAAGAUAACUUUGUACUUGAGUCCAGAACUUGAAGUCUCUGAGCUCCUUUGCAGUCUGUGUUCUGGGUGUGAGAUCUUUGAGGUAUUUGGGAGUCUGUAUCUCUGGUUUCACAGCCGUGAACGCUUUGGAGGACUGUAUGUAGGUUUUGUUUGUUCUUUUAGGUGUAUGGAGUUUUAAGUCCCAGGAAGAGACAUCACCGAGGUGACUGGAAUCUGCAUCCAGGUGUUCAAACAGUUUGGGCCCCUGAGUCCUUAGAUGUGAAGUCCCUGCUGUGUUUGAGAGUCGAUGUCCAGAUAUUGAUAUUUCUGGUUUUGAGGGCAGGCAGAGCCUGUGUUUCAGGUUGUCAGCUCUCUGAACUAUUUCUGGGUGUGUGUCCCAGUAUGUAAAGUUCCUGAGUUGUUUAUGGGUGUGUGUCCCAAAUGUGUGGGGUCCUGGACAUGGCUGUGGCUCUGUGUUGUAGUAUAUGAGGUCUCUGUUCAUGGGUGUAUGUGGCAGCGUGUGAGGUAACUGAACUCCUUGAGUGUGUGUGCACGAGAUCAUAAGGUCUCUGAUCUGUUUGGGUGUGUGUUUCCCAGCAUGAGAAUUUUUUAUUUGUUUGUGGGUGUAUAUUCCAUGGUGUUAGUUCUCUAAUCUGUUCGGAUGUGUAUGUCCUGGGUGUGAGGUUUCUGCUAUGCUCGUGGGUAUAUGGUCUAAUGGUGUAAAGGUUUCUGAUCCACCUAGGGGUAUAUGUCCCAGGGUAUGAGGUCUCUGAUCUGUUUGUCAUUGUAUGUCUCAGGAUGUGAGGUCUCUCUUCUGGAUGCAUGUCAAGGGUAGGAGGUCUCUAAUCUGUUUUUAGUUUUAUGUCCCCGGAUGUUAGAUCUCUGGUCUCUGUGGGUAUAUAUGCCAACGGGUGAGCUCUCUGUCAUGUUUGUGGGUAUAUGUCCCAAUAGAUGAGGUCUCUGAGGUCUUUGUGGAUAUAUUUUCCUGGUCGGUAUGUUUCUGAGCUUUUUGGGUUAUGUUUUGGUUAUGUUCUCUCAGGGCACUCUGGUCCAUUUGUUGGGUGUAUGUUACAGGAUGAUAAGGACUGUCUGUCUGAGGGUGUAUGUCCCAGGGUGUGAGGGUAUCUGCUGUGUUUGUGGGUAUAUGUCUCUGAGUGUGAUAUAUCUAAAAUGUUUGUGAGUAUAGUUCCCAAGAUAUAAGUUCCCUGAACUCUUUGUGGGUGUGUGUCCCAGAAAAGGAAAUCUAUGAUCUAUUUGUGAGCAUAUGUUCCAGAACAUGAGGUCUCAGAGCUGUCUGUCCCUGUGUGUGUCCCAAUAUGUGAGGUCUCUCUUCAUGGGUGUAGAUCAAAGGUACGAGUUCUCUGGUUACUUUUGUGUUGGUACCUCCCAGGGAAUGAGGCCUCUGAGCUGUCUGGGGUUGGGGAAUUUCACAUAAUGUGAGUUCUCAAGUAUGGUUGUGGCUAUAUGACCUAGCAUAUAGGUCUCUGAUCUCUUUGGGUGUGUAUGUUCCAUAGUUUGAAGUCUCUGAGCUCUUUAUUGAUGUAUAUUCCAGGAUGUGAGGUCUCUGAUCUUCUUGUUGUUAUAUACUGCUAGUACGCGAGUCUGCCUUCACUGGUAUAUGUCAAAGUCCAUUUGUGUGUGUAUUUCCCAGUGUAUGAGGUCCCUGAUCUGUUUCCAGGUGUAUGUUCCAGAGUAAGAAGCCUCUAAUAUGUCUCUGAUCUUUUCAUAAAUGUAUCAGGAGCUUGAGGUCCUUCAUCCCUGUGGUUGUAAUUCCCAGAGGCCUUGUCCAUGUUGUGUGUGUGGCUCUACGUCCAAGAAUAUUAUGUAUCUGUAUUGUUUCUGCAAGUAUGCCCCAGUUGUGAGGUCUCUGAUCUCUUUGUGGGUAUAUUCAUCAGAAUGGGAGAUCUCUGAUAUGUUUGUGGGUGUAUGUCCCAGAGUGUGAGGUCACUAAUGUUUGUGCAUGUAAACCCCAGGAUUUGAGGUCUGUGAUAUGCUUAUCACUAUAAUUAUCAAUGUGUGAAAUGUCUCUCAUGGGUGUAUGCCAAAGGCAUGAGCUCUCUGAUAUGUCUGUGUUUAUAUGAACGUGGGUGUAAGAUCUCUUAUUUGUUUAUGGGUGUAUGUCUCAGUGUGUGAGGUUUGUGAGGUUUUGGGGGGUUAUAUCCCAUGGUCUGUUCUGUUUGGGGGUUAUUUGCUGGGAUAUGACGUGUACGUAUUUUUAUCACUGUAUAUCCCAGUAUGUGAGGUCUCUCAGAUGGGUGUAUAUAGAAAGUGUAAGGUCUUUGAUCUAUUUGUGGUUAUAUAUCCCUGGGUGUGAGGUCUCUGAUAAGUUCGUGGAUUUAAUUCUUUUUUUUUUAAGUUUUAUUUUUUAAUUUUUUAAUUUUUAAUUUUUAUUUUAUUUAUUUAUUUAUUGAGAGAGAGAGUGUAGGAGGGGCAGAAAGAGAGGGAGAGAGAGAGA